GCCGAAAGGCGUAGUCGAUGGGAAACGGGUUAAUAUUCCCGUACUUGGUGUUACUGCGAAGGGGGGACGGAGAAGGCUAUGUUGGCCGGGCGACGGUUGUCCCGGUUUAAGCGUGUAGGCUGGUUUUCCAGGCAAAUCCGGAAAAUCAAGGCUGAGGCGUGACGACGAGGCACUACGGUGCUGAAGCAACAAAUGCCCUGCUUCCAGGAAAAGCCUCUAAGCAUCAGGUAACACGAAAUCGUACCCCAAACCGACACAGGUGGUCAGGUAGAGAAUACCAAGGCGCUUGAGAGAACUCGGGUGAAGGAACUAGGCAAAAUGGUGCCGUAACUUCGGGAGAAGGCACGCUGACAUGUAGGUGAAGUGAUUUACUCAUGGAGCUGAAGUCAGUCGAAGAUACCAGCUGGCUGCAACUGUUUAUUAAAAACACAGCACUGUGCAAACACGAAAGUGGACGUAUACGGUGUGACGCCUGCCCGGUGCCGGAAGGUUAAUUGAUGGGGUCAGCGCAAGCGAAGCUCCUGAUCGAAGCCCCGGUAAACGGCGGCCGUAACUAUAACGGUCCUAAGGUAGCGAAAUUCCUUGUCGGGUAAGUUCCGACCUGCACGAAUGGCGUAAUGAUGGCCAGGCUGUCUCCACCCGAGACUCAGUGAAAUUGAACUCGCUGUGAAGAUGCAGUGUACCCGCGGCAAGACGGAAAGACCCCGUGAACCUUUACUAUAGCUUGACACUGAACAUUGAGCCUUGAUGUGUAGGAUAGGUGGGAGGCUUUGAAGUGUGGACGCCAGUCUGCAUGGAGCCGACCUUGAAAUACCACCCUUUAAUGUUUGAUGUUCUAACGUGGACCCGUGAUCCGGGUUGCGGACAGUGUCUGGUGGGUAGUUUGACUGGGGCGGUCUCCUCCUAAAGAGUAACGGAGGAGCACGAAGGUUGGCUAAUCCUGGUCGGACAUCAGGAGGUUAGUGCAAUGGCAUAAGCCAGCUUGACUGCGAGCGUGACGGCGCGAGCAGGUGCGAAAGCAGGUCAUAGUGAUCCGGUGGUUCUGAAUGGAAGGGCCAUCGCUCAACGGAUAAAAGGUACUCCGGGGAUAACAGGCUGAUACCGCCCAAGAGUUCAUAUCGACGGCGGUGUUUGGCACCUCGAUGUCGGCUCAUCACAUCCUGGGGCUGAAGUAGGUCCCAAGGGUAUGGCUGUUCGCCAUUUAAAGUGGUACGCGAGCUGGGUUUAGAACGUCGUGAGACAGUUCGGUCCCUAUCUGCCGUGGGCGCUGGAGAACUGAGGGGGGCUGCUCCUAGUACGAGAGGACCGGAGUGGACGCAUCACUGGUGUUCGGGUUGUCAUGCCAAUGGCACUGCCCGGUAGCUAAAUGCGGAAGAGAUAAGUGCUGAAAGCAUCUAAGCACGAAACUUGCCCCGAGAUGAGUUCUCCCUGAGACUUUAGGUCUCCUGAAGGAACGUUGAAGACGACGACGUUGAUAGGCCGGGUGUGUAAGCGCAGCGAUGCGUUGAGCUAACCGGUACUAAUGAACCGUGAGGCUUAACCUU
rnacentral:rRNA from 1 species